rnacentral:lncRNA from 1 species
AUUAUCUUCAUCAAACCUCUCAUUAACAUCUUCCAAGUCAUCGGAUUCAGACUCACCAUCUUCCGUAAAUAUAGACAGGUCUUCAUCAUCCUGUGUCAUUACCAGGUGGACCCCGAAGCUUUUAAAACGCAGCGAAUCUUCUGCCCAAGUCGGAAAAUUAACUCGACACGCAAAAGGCGACUUCGGCCAGGUAAUCUGAUCAUCCCGGUAAAACAUUUCUCUGAACUGAAUAUAGCACAGCCACACAUGACCUGACCCUAUCUUUUUGAAAUAGUAAUUGCACUGAAUAAAAUAAGGUUCCACUCCUGGUUGAUUGAUGGAAAUUUUUGGUACAAAACCAUGGAAACGUCGUCUUUUGUUUUGGGGGUUUUCAACAGCAGCGUAUAGAGCCAAUCCUUGGUUCUGGCAUUUGAAGUUUGGAGGGAUUUGAAUCAAAAAUUUACAUGCGUUAUCACGCUCCUUCACAUCCUUAUGACAGCUGAACAACGUCGAGAAAACUUCAAAACUUGCUGGAAAUACAACCUGAAAUCCAUGUUUCUGUGAAGACAGAAGGUGAUCAAAGAAGAGAGUGAUCUGCUCCUUUGCUAAAAUGUUAUGCUUCUUUGUGAGGUCACGAGCCAGAUUGCCGCACAGUCUCUGGCAAUUACCCAAGUCCACCAACUCAAUCAUUUGUAAGUCUUUUUUACCUUUCAGAAUGUUGGACAACGAUGAAAACCUUUCCAAUGAUACGCAAUCACUCGCCCCUAACUUUACUAUUUUUGGUGGAAGUUCCGGAAUAUCUCGAAGCCUCUUGCAGCCAUGCAAGUAAAGAUCCCGCAAAUUGACAAAUUUCGUAAUGCAUUUGGGAAUACUUACAAGGAAAUCACUUCGUCUUAGAUCAAGUACGUUCAAUGUAGACACACAAUCAAGAGUCCUCAGGAAAUUAAAUUCUGAUAAAUUGUUUCCUUCCAACUUGAAUUCCGCAAGACUGGGAAGCGCUAAAGUAUGUGAUACUGGACUCCCCAAAACUUCAGACUUCACUUUAUUUGGAAAUCUAACAAGCUUUCGACUUCCUUGGAGACAAAUUUCAUUUAGAUGUUCCAACUCAUAAAUGCUGGAUGGCAGAUUCGUCAGAUUUUCACAAAUGCUUAUGUCUAAAAAUUCAAGACUGACGAGAUAUGCAAUUGACGCAGGCAAUUCUUUGAUGCCACUACCACAUAGAAACAAGUGACGUAAGGAAUCCAUCUUCCCCCCAAUUUCAGGGAAAGUCUCCAGUCUUCUGCAAUAUACAAGAUAGAGAACUUCUAGAGAUUUUGACUUGAUUAUUGGAAAUAGUGUGAGGUUAUGGCAACUCUGAAGACUCAAUUUCACAAGCUUAUCAUGAAAUCCAACAGAAGGAUGAACCUCAACUAAACUUGUGCAGUCGUCUAGAUUCAAGGACUGUAAGUUUGGAAUUCCAGAGAUAUUUGGGCUUUUUGUUAGGAAUUCACAGCUCUUAAAAUUCAUGGACGUCAAAUUUUGCAAACGCUAUAUAAGACAAAAAUAGAAAAUAAAAAGAAGGAUCAAACGGUAAGGCAUAAACAAGUUCAAGCCAUAACUCCAAAAACAUAAUAAACUUUUGAAAAUACGAAGGGAUGAAAAUAAUUUAAAUUACCUUGAAUCCCUCCCCAAGUUGUGACAAGCGGCUAUAAGGCAUAUAAAGUUCAACAAGUUUCCUUGGAUUGAAAGUAGAUGGUAAAGUUUGUAGAGGACAAUUAGGCCAAUGAAGAAACCUCAACUCAUUAGAUAGAUAAUCCACGUGAUCGCCACUAAAUCGUGCAUUCACAUUGAUGAAAAGUCGAAGGUUUUUCAUCUUUGAGAAGCUGUCACCACUCAAGCAUAUGUCAUCUGGUGUCGGAAACUUUGCUAUGAUGCCUUUAAUAUUAUUUGUUCCCUAUUAUCAAAAAGCAGUAGUGUAAACAUACAAAGCUCUUUAGCAAAUAAAAAUGCAAGUGUACACAUCACACAACAGACUUACUGUUCCUUCUGUUAGAACACGAUAAACAUCCUCGUGAAACCACAAUCUGCUACGUUCACCAGGCUCAUUUGGCGACUGUAGAUAAACUAUUCCUCUACCCAAUUCUUCAAGCAAGUCAUGCAUCCCAAUUAUGCCUCGUUCAAUAUUUAUGAGGGCCUUGUCUACGAGUACUUUAAUAGCAUACUUAGGCUUGAGGUCACAACCUUCCAGGAUCGGUAUCACAUGGUUCACCUUUCUACCGUUAAAGAAACAUGCUAUGUCAAGGAAAACUUCUUGCACUGAAUAUUCCAAUGCAUCAUAGCUUAUUUUGAGAGUUUUUUUAAUGUCCGGGUGCAGAUUCCCAUCCAAUGCAUCAUGCCACUCAUCUAUACUUCUACCACAUAGAUGAGAACCUAAAACCUUGAGAGCUAAAGGAAGACCUUGAGCAUGCUUCAGCACAGUUUCUGCAGCUUUCACAUAAUCAUCAUCCAAAUUUUUAUUUCUCCCACCAUUCCAACUAAUGAAGAGAUCAAGAGAUUCACCAAAGUUUAAUUUCUUGGCCUUAUAUAUAAUACUAACUUGAUGAGAAGUUAGCAAAUGCUUAUCUCUUGUCGUUAUGAUGAUUCUACUGCCCAAACCAAACCAAUCACAACCUCCAACUAAGUUGUUUAAUUGGUCCAAAUGAUCCACAUCAUCUACAAUUACAAGGACCUUUUUACCACUCAACCUUUCCUUUAUCACACUGAUUCCUUUAUCGGCACUGGUAACCUUUAUUUCCUUUCCCCUUAGAAUCUCAUCAAGAAGAAGAUUUUGUAGGUCGACUAGGCCUCCAUAUGGUAUUGAUCUUUCUCUUACUUUUUCCAGAAAACAACUCCCUUCAAACACAUGGGCCAGUGAGUUAUAAACAGCUUUAGCAACAGUUGUCUUUCCUAUUCCAGCAGUCCCCCAUAUUCCUACCAUGCGAACAUCAUUUCCGUCAACAUCUAAAACUUUAUGAAGAUCUCGUACACGAGCCUGUAUUCCGACUUGGUAUUUUGCCACAUUGAUAUGGGUAUCAUUUAAUACUUGUAAGGAAAUCUCGUUGACAAUGUUCUGAAUAAAUUCAGUUUCACGGCUGCCAAUUUCAAGCACAAACAACAAUUAAAUCAAAUGGGAUUUUUCUAUAUAUGUUAUAAAGAAGUGCUCGAUACUAAUGUCAAUUAUGUCAUGAAUCUAUAUAUAUAAAGCAAAAAAUAGAGAAUAAUGAAACAUUCAAAAUACCAUAAAAUGUCAUUGGUUAAUGUAAACAUUUUAACAGAAAUAUAUUGAAAAUGUCUAUUACUCUAGAGAUUUCUACCAAAUGUCCAUCACAUUUUAACAGUUAAAAUAACAGAUUCUGCAACCCUGGGAGAAAUAAAUUGAAAUUAAAGCAGAGCCUCAGAAAAGAAAAAAAUAAUAACGGAUCCUAAAUGUAUAUUAAAGACAGAAAUAUACCGCAUCAGAAAAGGAAAAAAAUAUAAAUAAUAAUAAAUAAAUAAAUAAAACAUACCCCUCCAAGUAAUGCGACCCAGACAAAUUUGCAGCUUCUGUAAGGGUUUCCUUCCAUCUCAGAACCUUCUUCAUAUUGUCCUCGAAUUUACUUUCAUCAUGGUUAGUAAGUUUCUGUUCUUUGAAUUUGCGUUCAUGGUUAUUCAGUGCCUCGCCAUAACUACCUCUUUGGUUCCUUACAUCUGAGGGAUCCACUUUGUAGAAAACUGGCCAAACCAUCUGUUGCUUUGAUUUUCUACACUGAAUGAUAUGAACAAGUUCAUCCAAGCACCACUUCGAGGAUGCAUAUUUUUCAGAGAAUACGAUGAUGGAACACCUCGAUCCUUCAAUUGCAUCAAGAAGUGCUUGUGAUAUUUCCUCUCCUCUUGGGAGCUCAUCAUCUAUGAAGGUUCUGAUGCCCCUCUGGACCAAAUUUUUGUGCAGAUGGUCUGUGAAAUUGUAGCGUGUGUCCUCACCUCUAAAGCUGAGAAACACAUCGUGGGUCCAUGAAUUGGUGAAAGAAGAAGAAGAAGAAGAAGGGGAAGGAGCUCCUAAUAAUUGAGUGGUGUCUAGAUCCAUAUUGUUGAAAAUUGAACAGGCUGAAAGGGUUGGAAAUUAUAGUGAUUUAUUGUCCGAGAGUCUCUGGUUGGCAAUGUCAGUGGGGAGACGAAUCAUGUGAGUGAAAAGUCUUCGUCUUUCUCGGCCCCAAGAGCCCCUACCUCUGCUGGGUCUCUCUAGACCCGAGGGACAGUUUUAAAUUUUUUUAAUUUUUAAUUUUAUAUAAUUAUUUAAUCAAUAAAAUAAAACUAGUUUGUUACUCUUUCAAAAGGUUUCCGUGAAUGGCGGGAAGAAGAACCACCUUCAUUAGUGGUUGAAUCCAUUUGAUUGCAGAAAAGGAUGUUGGGAAAGGCUACUUUCCUUUGUUAUAUAUUAGGUGUUUACUCAGUGCUCCGCCAUUUGCUUGUAUUAAAAAUAAAAUUAGGCCAUCCCAUCUGCGAAGUAGUUUCCUCUGUCAUUUUCAGAGUGGAUGAGAAGUCAAAAGGUGAAUAUUAUAAAACAGAAGACUGCAUUUUUGUUGCAACGUACGGUUGUUUCGCAAUUCAGAAGUAACGUAGAAGUUCGGCGUGUAGGAAAAAAAGACAAAAUGCGUAGAUGAUGAAGAUGCAUAAAAUAACCUCCUCUAAAUAUUUUGUUAGAAGACAAAACUUUGUUUCUUUUCCUUUUUUCUUAUUAUAUGACCUAAUAUUUGAAAAAUAAUAUUGAUUCCUUUAUCGACAAAAUGGCCUAAUUAUUUACAGAAUUUAAAUAAAUUUUUAUAAUAAAAAUUGAUUUUAAUCCCCACUUGAUACACGCACAUAGGACACGCUUAGGAUAUUCAUUAGGAAAUAAAAUCAAUAGGAUCCAAAAUUUGGUGUUUAUAGGAUAUAGGAUGAUAAGCUAAAUUCAAUAGUCUCAAUACGAACUCAAUAUCACUCAAACUCACUAUGCAACACAUUUCAUUCAAUUCUUUUGUGCCAAAAUAAUUGACUACUCGAACAUCUUCUAAAAGUUUCAUUACGUCCAUGGAGUAUAACUCAGUUGAUUGAGCUCUUUCACCUCCACUUAUGUGGGCAAAAGUUCGAGACACCUAGGCACCCAAUGAAUAUUUGUGUAAACCACUCUCCCCCAAUCACUUGUGCUAUAAAAAUAUAUAAAAAAAUAAUUACAAAUUCCCAUGUUUUUCUUAUCAUUUCCAUUGUUUUUUUAAUCUAGUUUUUAUCAAUAUCAAUAAUUUUUCACAGAUAUUUCCAAAUUUUUAGACCACUAAUAUUUUUGAAACUCUAAAUGCCUGUUUGGCAUUGUUUAUUUGGAGCAAAAAUCACUUUCUUAAAAAGUUUUCUUCCACCUAGCUGUUUGGUAAAUGAAAAAAUAAUCUGAUUAUAUGAAUAAUUGCUGUCAGCCACAGUGAUUUGAGGAAGCUGGUCAGGGGGUGAUUUUAUUUCCGCUUAUGCGGAAAGAGGGUGGGGAACCGGUGCUCUUUAAUGAAUGUUUUAAAAAUGCCCAGAUUAUUCUCAUUGGCUUUUGAAAAUGACAUCCACUAUCGUCUUCAUUUGAUCAUGUAUUCUUGAAUCGCUGCUUCCUCUCCUCUCACGUUACAUAGUGAGUUCAGUUCUUCUUCUUCUUCUCUUCACACCUUUCUUCUUUAAUUUGUCUCCAAGAUUCCUACAACCCCAGAUCUAAAGUUUGUUUCUUAUCUUUUUUCAUUCUGGAUUUGGGGCAGUUAGUCCUUUCUGAUGGUCCAAUCCUGAUAGUCACGUUUCUAGUUCUCAACAAAGAACAAAUCUUAAUGGUCCUUCAAAUCAACGGAUUGGAUCCAGUAUCAAUUUCAUCAUUUUGGGUUUUCAGUGCAACAGAGUGAUAAAAGGUUUUCAGUGCAACAGAGUGAACAAAUCUUAUUGUUUUCUUGUGUUUGAUGGGCUGCAAUGAAUUUGUAGGUUGUAUCCCCUGUGUUCACUCUCUUUCUGGGUUUCUCUUGUUCUAGUCCUCAUUUGCAACUUUAUCCAAAUUAUUUUUUUAUAAAUUCUCUUGUUCUAGAACACUUUUAUUUUUAAUACUCAUUCUAAACUGGUUUCCUUCAAUCCUUUUUUCCGUUUUCAAAAUCAUUGGGUUUUCAAUAAUGAAAUGCUGUAUUAAUUGACGACAAACAAAACAAAACAAAACAAUGUAGGAUCAGCCCACAUAACGCAUCUGGAAGAAAGAGGCGAAGGGUGGUCAUAAUUUCUAAAUUUACUUCACAAUAAGGAAAGGAAUGCAUAUAUGCAAGUAUGACUGUAUGAGUAGCAACGUAUAUACUCGAUGGGAAUUGGCAUUUGGUUGUUGGCCAUGGAGUUAAAUGGUGUGAACAAAAAUUACUAAUGAAGAGGCAAGAGGGCACUGAAUACUGCAAUCGUGAUAGGAAGAUUUUGGGUUGUUAUUAUAUUCAUUUGUGAAUUACAAUAGUUGAGUUUUCAAUUGAUCAUAAUAUUCAGGUUUUAGGUAUUGAAAUUAAAAAUAAUAACCUCAUGCCCUUUCUAGUCACUAUACACAGUCCAAACACUUUUACACAAAAAUUUACCAAACAUUCGUAAACUUAAUAUUGUUUCAACAUCACUUUUAACAAAAAGUUUACCAAACGCCAAAUUGAUUUAUUUCACAGCUGAUUUCUCAUAUAGCAAAUUUAACCAUGAUUAUUUUCACAGCACAGCAAUGCCAAACUGACUACCUUACUUCUUACCCAAAAAAAUUGUCCUUACUUAUUGUAAAAUUAAUGAGACAAUAACUAUUUAUAACAAAAACCAUGAUUGCACUCAUAAUAUGCAUCAAUGUACAUCACAGAUGCAAAGUAGUUUCAUGUCAUCUUCAUAGUGGAUGUGAAGUCAAAGGGAAUAAGAAAAUGGUCAAAAGGAAACAACAACCAACCACAAAAGAAAAAGAAAAAAGAAGCAUCACUACACUUUCGUUGCAACAUGGUUAUUUAACAAGUAGUUGGGGGUGUGGAAAAAAAGACAAAAGGUCGAUUGAUGAUGAAGAUGACUAAAAUAGAUCAGGAUUGUCAAAAAUAACAUCUAUAAUUGUUAGAACACAAAAUUUUGUUAUUGGCGAGUCAGUUAAUUCAUAAUGUGUCAUGCUAUUAGAUAGAAAGGUAUUCGUAUAAUGUAUGUGAGUUUAGUAAAUUAUCGCCCCUCUCAAUAAGGGCUUGCAAGUAAUGAGACACAUAACCUAAUUAAAAGACAGGAUUGUAAUUAAACCGAUAUUUUGUUGAUUAAGAAUGAAUGCAAUUUUCAAAAAUAAUAUCAUGAACCCAUUCAAAUUGAGUGAGAGGGACUUCGUCGAUCUUUUCUUCUAGCAGAUCAAACUUGUUCAGUAUCAAAAUGAAGUCUUUAUAUGGUCAAUGACUGGAUAGUGAGCGUAUGGUGGAAUGUCUAGUUUUGGGGUGGGUGGUUUCAAUUGGGUUGCCACCAAAUAUAUACUACUAGAUAGUAACUUUUGAAUUAAUGAUGCCAAGGGCUUAAAUAAGAUGGAGUAUUUAAUCAAACUUCUUGUUUCAUGAUGCUAUAGUCAAUUGUUGCAUGACUAAUACCUUUUUUUUUUUUUUUUUUUUUUUAAUUUUAUGUUUUUUCGAAAAGGCAGAUUUCAUUCCAUUAGAAAGGAGGAAUAAUGGGCAUGUAAUACAUAGCCUCGUUAAAACCUUCCCGGAGAAACCACACGUGAAAAAUCCCGGAGUAAGAAAGAGUACCACAAAUGCUGAUGAAGUACACAACAAGAAAAAUUACAUUGCAUCACUAUUCCUCCUUUUUAGUUCAAGAGGUAUCUUUUUUUUUCUUUUUUUUUGGUGGUUUUCUUUGUGCAUGCUCUUGGGAUUUAUAGUACUUUACUCUGUUGUGAUCAAUGUUAUGUCUAGAGUACCCAAUGUUAUAUAACUCCCCCAUUGUAAUUUCUAUAACUCAUAACUCGCAAGAAAGAAUUCAACCUCCCCGUAGUUUAGAAAAUAACUAUUUAAUUAAAGAUUACAAUCUGGUUUGGUUAAGUUAACUGACUAUAUAUAUAUAUAGUAGCAACGGUGCCCACGCGAUGCUACAGGUUUUAAAACCCUGUGAAAUGUAUACAAAGUCGUGAAAAUAUGUAGGAAAUAUGGUACUAUUUAUAUAGACAUGGAGAUCUAAAUAGUGGCAUCUUUGUUUUGCAAGUUUAAUACUCCCAAAGAAAAAAUUAGCCAAACUACAGACGCAAAAAUGAAUCUUAAUCAAUUCCAAAUAAUAGAGGCAGUGUUCAAACUUAGAAAGAUAGAAGAACUAAAAUUCAGAUAAUGGAGGUAAUGUUCAAACUUUGAACAUCUCUAACAUGACAUCACCAAAUCAGUAAAUAUUACACAAAAUCAGUAUAAAAACACAUGAAGACAAAAAAAAAAAUAAAAAAAGCAAAUAUUAACAACAAUAGAUCAUUACACAAUUUAGGGUGACCCUAACAACAAUUGAGGAAUUGAUUGCUUUUGUUAGAGACCAAAGCAAGUGUUUCUAAAACAGGGAAUAAGAGCAUAAAAGUUUUUGAAUGUUGGAUGCCCAUUUUUUACUUUUCCUUCCUCUUCCUCUAUUUCCCGAGAAAGCAAAUAAACAGAAUCAGCCAAAUAUCACCACAAAUCAAAUGUAUGGUAAUUAAUUAAAUGCCAAAGUAAGAAGUGCCAAAGAAUCAUUGAGCAUAAAAUAAAAAAAAACCAAAAAUCUGAGUCACCACUUGUAGAAGAUUAGCCCUUUGCUGGCAGCUCCUUUCACUUACAAACUCCUUGGUGUUCCAGUGCCACAACAACUUCAGUACUUGCUGCACAAUCCAAGCUCCUCAGUACUCGAUGCACAAUCCAAGCCCUGCAAGCUACAUUGGUAUUUGUUAUGGGUUGCCAUAAAAGGGAAUUUUCAUUUUUAAAGGUCCGUAUGUACGAAUCUAUAAAUGAGUUGCAAAACUUCCACAAAUAUCAAAUCAAACCACAGAUUAGUGGCAGCAUGUAUGUACCAAAUUGUGGCACAUCCCAUUUCAGCUCAUAAAUCGUCAAAUAAAAAAUCUAAAAUACGCAUUCAUAUCAUACAAGUUGGAAGGAUGAACCAAUAUUUUGCAAAAGCACAAAACUUUAUUAACAUCCCAACAAACCCAAAGGAUAAAAACAGAUAAUCAAAUCAAUCAUGAAAUACAGAAUUACAGACAGAAUACGCACAUAUAAGGAUGAAAUGCAACAAUUAAGACCACUCGCGCCACCCAUUUCUCUGUAAUUGAUCUUUCGCUUUUUCAUUGUCAAUCCAACAUACUUUUAAAUCUUUACCAAUCAAAUUUUACGUCUCCAAUUCAACCGGGCAUUUCGAGGGGAUGCCUCUGACGCAGCCUCCUUCACAUCUGCCACCAAAGCCAAACAUCAAACCUCAAUUAAUUCACAAACCCAGAAACCAACCCAACCCAAAUUACAUAGGGCAGAUAGAUAAAGAAGCAGGAUGAAGCAAAAUGAUAAUAAUUGGUCAAACAGAACCCAACAUGCACAAAAGCUUCAAAUGUCCAAAGCUCCAAAAACAAAACAUAAUAAUAAUAACCCGAAUUGGGCAAACCAAGUUCUACUCAGUAGUGGGUGGCUCUUGUGGGGAAGAAGAUGAAGCUUCAUCUGCAUAAGAGACCAAUGUACACAGUGGGCUUGCGUUUCACGUCCCAUGGCUGCGUUUUGCGAGGCCGAGUCUUCCUGUGAUGCGCAGUGGCCUUCUUCUGUGGCCUCGACGAACACUCAAUCAUCAACCCAGUACCUCCACCAACUGAGCCGCGCAAUGGGGAUGUCUUUGGGACCCCAAACGACUCGAUCGCAGAUGGGUUCUUCACGGCCACACCCAUAGCCACCAAUUGAGGCCCCAACACAGCUUCAGUUCUCACAGUGAGAAAAAGACGAUGGAAUUGGGUUUUCCUUCUCUCAGCGACUCCGACGAAGAGGAGAGAAUAGCGCUGGAGGGCAAAACGGCUAAUUCACUGCUCAUAAGUCAACUCAAGGAAGCAGACCAUCACUUAAGCGGGGGCAAAACCGUCACUUCGCUAUUCCCAAGCUACAGUCCAGGAACAAUGACUCUGGGAUCAGUUUUAGUAUAUAUAUAAUUUAUAAAUAAAUAAAAAGAACUUGUGUAUUUUGUUUCUUUGUUUGUUAAAAAAUAAUGGGAGAUAUUAUUGGCACCCCAUUAUUUGCUCUUUGCACCCCAUAUUAAUUUUAAACAUGAAUAAUUUAUUUAACCUUCGUACAUAAUUACCGUUAAGGACAAAAAGCAUUUAUAAUAAAAAUUAAAUUUGCUCACUACACCCCAUGUAUGUUCCUGCAACUCUAGUUAGAAUUUUUUUCUUAAACCAUCAUGUUCCUACAAUCCUAAUGAGCUUUAUACGCUUAUAUUGGUGAAAAAUAUAUUGUAUUUAUUCAUGAAGGGUGAGAUUGAAGUUAGAGAGGCUUCGAAUGAGUUAUGAGUUUAUUUUUUGGCCUUUUUCAAGCUUGGGAUUUCUUGAUGGUUCGCUAGUUGCGUUUAGCAAACCAGUACCGAACGCGAUAGGUAAAUUCGGUGGGAUGCCACCGAAACAUUGCACCUAUUUUGGUUGCGUUUGACUGGCCGUUAACUUCAGAUGCAGUGGAGAUCCACCAUAAUAUAAACGGUGUUCGGUGGUUUAUUACAGAAUUUUUACCUACAAUUCAGUGGCAACGAACCGAAAUAUAUUUAUUUUUUCAGUAACUUAUUGUCGACCACAAAUUUAAUAUAAGCUAUUUUGACCUUACUCCCAUUGAAGGAACAAAAACAAGAUGACGCCCUUAAAAUAGAUGACACAUCAUCAAAUGUGAUGGUCAUCUCACUAAAAGGCAUGUGAAAGAUGUUCGUUUCAAGAUGCCAUCUCUCAAUAAAGGUAGAUAUAACAAUCUUAUCUGCAUUCCGAUAAGAACACUAAAUAAGUUGCUCCAAUCCAUACCUCUAAAUGUACCAUUUGAAUAUACCAUUAUUUGGAUUAGCCCUCCAAUUUCACUAAUGAAGGAUAGAUGUCUUCGACAUGCACCUAAGGUGCUCACAUUCCUAGUAAAAAACAAUAUUAAGUACAAACUCAAUAACGAAUUCAGUAGAUGAUCACUGAAACAAGAAACGAAUUCACGGAAACAAAAAAUGAAUUCAGUUGACUACUACUGAAAAACAUAAACAUAUUCAAUAGACUGUCACUAAAAAACUGAAACAGAUUAUGUGAACUACUAUUGAAAAACGUAAACACAUUCGGUGGGUAGCUACUGAAAAUAGAAAACAAAUUCGAUGGACUACCGUUGAACAAGGUAACGAUUUUAGUGGGGUUUACACAGGUAAGUUAGGGAAUGGGGUUCAUGAGGGCAAUCUAGGAAGAAAAAUGAGGUGUAUUGAGUAAUUUUAAAAUUUCCUAAAAUUCAGUGGGGUGUAAGGAGAAUAUGAGGUGGAAAGAGCAAAUGUUAGAGUGCCAAUAAAAUCAUCCAAAAAUAAUAUAUGGUUUAAUGGGUUGUCCUGUUAAGGGAAAGCUUGGAGGCAAUAAUUUAAACUUUUGGAAAAACAAUAAUCCCAAAUGUAAGAACAAUUCAUCCACUAAUAGCUUGCAAAAUUAUAAUUUAAAUGGAAAAACAAAAAACAAAUGCACUAGUAAUAAGUUAAUGUAUCUACUAAACUUAAUUACAUGGAGGCAAUCUAAUGGAUCACUAGUGAUUUUUUAGUCAAAACAACCUAGUUAUAUAUAAUUACUGAAAAAAAUAAUCUCAUUUUUCACGGCCCAAGAACGGGCAAGGGUCCUUCAAUAAGUUAAACAUGUUUACAAGGUGUCACCAAAGCACAAAACGGUCCAUAAGCAAACGAACUGUGGCCUCUGAAAGACUAGAGGAAUCCAAGUCCCUCUGAAUCUGAACCAUUCUGCUGCUCUCUUUUCUUGCUUCUUUCAACACUUGCUGUUGUUCUUCAACCUCAUCAUCACCUUCUCCUUGUUUUCCCUUUGAUGAAAACACCAGUCGCUUCUUAGCCCCUACCUUGUCUUUCAGCUUUGCCAACUCGCUCAUCCAAACCUCCACCACUGCAGACAUGCUUGAACUUGAAAACAUGAAAACUGGCUUGGUCUUGACUCUUUGAGUUUGAUCAAGGAUGAUGGGGAGAGCUGGCUAUUAUGCUUGUUGGGUUAUAUAGAAGAGAGAGAGAGAGAGAGAGAGAGAGAGAGAGAGGGCCUUGCCCUUCAUGUGGCUUGGAUUGGAUGAAAAAUCAGUGUGUCACAGACAGCCGUUGGUUAUAGGCUCGCACACAGGAUUUAGUUUUAGGAAUAUUCCAGAGAGAGAGAGAGAGAGAGAGAGAGAGAGAGAGAGUACAAAGUGGGGUAUGAGUUUUGUUGAGUGAAUGAAAAGCUUCCCAGUGGGCGCACGGAACUCUCUUCUUUAGAUUGUGGGCGACUUGGCAUAUUACUAUUCAUCAAUAGUAUCCAUUGCAUCUUAGUUUUUCUUUUGUCUUAUUCCAACAUUGCAAAUCUCUCUUCCGGGUCAACCACCUCUUCAUCAUCAUCUUCAGUAAAAGUAGCCAUCUUCAUUAUCUUCACAGCUGAAGUAGUCAUGUUCCGAGUCUUGCUCAUCUUCACAUAGAUCAACACCUGAUUCAGACUCAUCGGAUUCAGACCUGUCAUUAGCAUCUUCCAAGUCAUCGGAUUCAGACUCACCAUCUUCCGUAAAUAUAGACAGGUCGUCAUCAUCCUGUGUCAUUACCAGGUGGACCCCGAAGCUAUUAAAACGCAGCGAAUCUUGUGUCAAAUUCUGAAAAUUAACUUGACACGCAAAAGGCGACUGCGGCCAGGUAAUCUGAUCAUCCCGGUAAAACAUUUCUCUGAAUCGAAUAUAGCACAGCCACACAUGACCUGACCCUAUCUUUCUGAAAUGGUAAUCGAACUGAAUAUAAUGAGGUACCACUUCUGGUUGAUUGACGGAAAUUUUUGUUAGAAAACCAUGGUAACGUCGUCUUUUAUUUUGCGGGUUUUCAACAGCAGCAUAUAGAGCCAAUCCUUGGUUCUGGCAUUUGAAGUUUGGAGGGAUUUCAAUCAAAAGUUCACAUGCUUCAUCACGCUCCUUCACAUCGUUAUGACAGCUGAACAACGUCGAGAGAGCUUCAAAACUUGCUGGAAAUACAACCUG